rnacentral:rRNA from 1 species
UACGUAGGGGGCAAGCGUUAUCCGGAUUUACUGGGUGUAAAGGGAGCGUAGGCGGCCGGCCAAGUCAGGCGUGAAAGCCCGGGGCCCAACCCCGGGACUGCGCUUGAGACUGGCCGGCUAGAGUACCGGAGAGGCAGGCGGAAUUCCUAGUGUAGCGGUGAAAUGCGUAGAUAUUAGGAGGAACACCAGUGGCGAAGGCGGCCUGCUGGACGGUGACUGACGCUGAGGCUCGAAAGCGUGGGGAGCAA